GUCCCGAAAAAUAAAGCUGUCACACACAGCAGCGGUCCCUGAACCCUCGUACGUGAGAGGGGGCCGACCCCGCGGCGUGGCAAGGGCACAGGAAAGCAUAAUGGCGUGUGGGGAGAUGGGACUUAACGUGAGCAAACAGUCCGUGAUGAAGUGCUUGAAUCCAACAAUGAAUGGUGGUUCCUUCUGA